rnacentral:rRNA from 1 species
CACGUAGGGUGCGAGCGUUGUCCGGAAUUAUUGGGCGUAAAGAGCUCGUAGGCGGUGUGUCGCGUCGGCCGUGAAAACCUGCAGCUUAACUGUGGGCUUGCGGUCGAUACGGGCAUCACUGGAGUUCGGCAGGGGAGACUGGAAUUCCUGGUGUAGCGGUGAAAUGCGCAGAUAUCAGGAGGAACACCGGUGGCGAAGGCGGGGUCUCUGGGCCGAUACU